rnacentral:rRNA from 1 species
UACGUAGGGUGCGAGCGUUGUCCGGAAUUACUGGGCGUAAAGGGCUUGUAGGUGGUUUGUCGCGUUGUUCGUGAAAACUCACAGCUUAACUGUGGGCGUGCGGGCGAUACGGGCAGACUGGAGUACUGCAGGGGAGACUGGAAUUCCUGGUGUAGCGGUGAAAUGCGCAGAUAUCAGGAGGAACACCGGUGGCGAAGGCGGUUCUCUGGGCAUGUCCUGACGCUGAGGAGCGAAAGUGUGGGGAGCGAACAGG